UACAGAGGGUGCGAGCGUUGUCCGGAAUCACUGGGCGUAAAGGGCGCGUAGGUGGCGACCCAAGUCGAUGGUGAAAGCUCGUCGCUCAACGACGAGUCGGCCACCGAUACUGGGUUGCUCGAGCACUGUAGAGGCAGAUGGAAUUCCGGGUGUAGCGGUGGAAUGCGCAGAUAUCAAGGAGGAACACCGAUGGCGAAGACAGAUCUCUGGGCCGUAACUGACGCUGGAGGAGCGAAAGACAUGGGGAGCGAACAGG
rnacentral:rRNA from 1 species